UUAAGACAUGCGACAGGUGUUUAGUCGCUGCAAUACUUAUUUCCUUAUUUCCUUCCGCCGUAUGUUUAAUGUAAGUCCGAUUUGGAAGGGAUCGGCAAUGAUUAAGAUGGUAUUUUGUCGCUUCUAAGUCAUGUGAAUUUCUUUACUGUUCGUUUAUAGUGCGUGAGUUAUAUGCGGUUUCCAAGGCAACCUGCCAUUAUCAGCGUCAGCACAUGUCUGUGCAUUCUGACAAAUAUUCAUGUCUGUUUGAAAAGAAACAUUCUACCCAUUGGGUAGAAUCGUUUAGUUUCCAUUGGGUCAUAACCAUGACCUGGUUAGGUAGGCUUAGACAUAAUUAUUGGAAUGUUUCACUUAGUAACAAAUGGGCUAGGCCCAGUGUUUUCUUACCCCUGUUCACUUAGAAAAGAGUUGCAGCUUUCAUCAAAGAAUCUGAUGAUCUAAAAGUUGAGACUAACUGGAUGAGCUAGGCUGCUUUGUCUGGACGAAAAUGAACCCUCCAAGGCUCCAACAGCCUCAUCACACAGAAACUCGAGGAACCGGAAGCAGGGAGGAGGACCGACAGAUGAACGGAUGACCUGCUUGCCGGGCUUCUCAUUACUGAUUCUUGAGAGAAACGAGGACCACUAACUGAAGAGGAAAUUGCUCUACUGAGAUGAGGAUGAGCCUGCCUCAAGCCGUCGUAAGCUGGGAGGACCGACGGUUCACUGACUGUGCUGGGCUGGUCAUUGCUGAUUCAUGAGAAGAUGAGUACCACCAAGCUUGGACGAGACUGGACAAUGACGAAGCUGUAUCUGGACAAGGAAACCUUCACAAUUAACUUGCAGAAUAUUGGAUCAGAAAUCAGACUGCAUUUUUUGCAAAGUCAGUAAUAUAAAACAUAAAAACGACGAAAAUACGACUUUUUA